rnacentral:rRNA from 1 species
UACGUAGGGUGCAAGCGUUGCCCGGAUUUAUUGGGCGUAAAGGGCGCGUAGGCGGCUCGGCACGUCCGUUGUGAAAUCGCCCGGCUCAACUGGGCGGGGUCAGCGGAUACGGUCGAGCUUGAGCAAGCUAGGGGGCAAUGGAAUUCCCGGUGUAGUGGUGGAAUGCGUAGAUAUCGAGAGGAACACCUGCGGCGAAGGCGGGUUGCUGGGCUGACACUGACGCUGAUGCGCGAAAGCCAGGGGAGCGAACGGG